UGGAUCCAGACUUUGAUCCUGGCUCAGGAUGAACGCUAGCUACAGGCUUAACACAUGCAAGUCGAGGGGAAACGACAUCGAAAGCUUGCUUUUGAUGGGCGUCGACCGGCGCACGGGUGAGUAACGCGUAUCCAACCUGCCCACCACUUGGGGAUAACCUUGCGAAAGUAAGACUAAUACCCAAUGAUAUCUCUAGAAGACAUCUGAAAGAGAUUAAAGAUUUAUCGGUGAUGGAUGGGGAUGCGUCUGAUCAGCUUGUUGGCGGGGUAACGGCCCACCAAGGCAACGAUCAGUAGGGGUUCUGAGAGGAAGGUCCCCCACAUUGGAGCUGAGACACGGUCCAAACUCCUACGGGAGGCAGCAGUGAGGAAUAUUGGUCAAUGGACGAGAGUCUGAACCAGCCAAGUAGCGUGCAGGAUGACGGCCCUAUGGGUUGUAAACUGCUUUUAUAAGGGAAUAAAGUGAGUCCCGUGAGACUUUUUGCAUGUACCUUAUGAAUAAGGACCGGCUAACUCCGUGCCAGCAGCCGCGGUAAUACGGAAGGUCCGGGCGUUAUCCGGAUUUAUUGGGUUUAAAGGGAGCGUAGGCCGGAGAUUAAGCGUGUUGUGAAAUGUAGACGCUCAACGUCUGCACUGCAGCGCGAACUGGUUUCCUUGAGUACGCACAAAGUGGGCGGAAUUCGUGGUGUAGCGGUGAAAUGCUUAGAUAUCACGAAGAACUCCGAUUGCGAAGGCAGCUCACUGGAGCGCAACUGACGCUGAAGCUCGAAAGUGCGGGUAUCGAACAGGAUUAGAUACCCUGGUAGUCCGCACGGUAAACGAUGGAUGCCCGCUGUUGGUCUGAAUAGGUCAGCGGCCAAGCGAAAGCAUUAAGCAUCCCACCUGGGGAGUACGCCGGCAACGGUGCAACUCAAAUGAAUUGACGGA
rnacentral:rRNA from 1 species